CCGAACCGGACCGCGCCGUCGCCCGCAGCUCCCUCCUGCGGGAGCUCCCCUCGCGCCCGCAAGCCGCCUCGCCGGCGACCCCACACCUCCGCCACGCCCCGCCGCCGGCGACCUUCCCCGCUAAGGAUCUCCGGACCUCCAUGGCGCCGUUGGACCUCAAUCUCGCUGGAUCCGGCCGCCUCCACACCAAAUCCGCCGGAAAUGGAUCCUCCGUGGCCAGAUCCGCCUAGAUCCGACCGGGCCCCGCCGUCAUCGCCACCGGAGCGCCGCCCCGCUCGACCUGCAGCGCCACCUUCCACCGGCAGCCCCCAGUCUCGGUCGCCACUCGAUCAUGUGGAUGAUGCUCGGCGUGUCCCUGUAAUUGCCGGCUACUGCCGCUCCCCGCCCCUGUUCAAUUAAGCCAACGCUUGAAAUUUUGGUUCAGACUGACCUGCUCUUCAAUCCUUGCUGAUUUGUGGUUUUGAGACCCACCCAAGCAGGGUCUGCGUUCAUGAGGAGAACCUGCUGUUCCUGGAGGCCUGGCAGACAGUCGAUCCCGCUGCUACCACAAGUCCGCUUUGUGACGAGCUGGUCAACACACGGGAGGAGACAUAUAUGAUUCCACUUGUGCAAAGUCUGCCUGUACUACUAUCCAUAUUGCCCCAUAGCAAUACAAUUUAUCUACUACCUCAAUAGCUCACUUCUGCAAGUCAUAACGUGACACUUAAUAUCUUAGAAAGUACAACCGAGUUUAAUAAGUGGAUCAAAUGCAGUUGUCAUGCACCUCCUUUGGUUGAAUCUGAAUUCUGUUAGAAACAUGGCAAACCACCUAAAUAUGCCAUUGAUCUAUACAAAACUGAGAUAUUUUGUGUUUUUAUAGUUCUUUUGUGCUCUGACCGAAUUUGCUUAUCUGACAUUUUUUCAGAUGUUGCAACCUUGGGCGAUCGGUUCAUUGGAUUCUUGAAACCAAUGCCUUUUCUGAAUUAAGUCUGGCAUGCAAGGUGCCCUCAUGGUUUAUUUCCAAGAUGGCGCUGGGAUCUCGGGGACGUGCCGGACGGCGUCGCGUUCCUGCACCUUGGGGAUAGCUUGGGUCGAAUUCUCCUCCAUGCAAUCUUGUGCUCCUUUGGGUGUUUCUAAUCUUUCUACCUUCUAGCAUAAAUAGAG